GCCCGGCUAGCUCAGAUGGUAGAGCAUGGGACUUUUAAUCCCAGGGCCGUGGGUUCAAGUCCCACGUCGGGCG
rnacentral:tRNA from 1 species